rnacentral:misc_RNA from 1 species
GCAAACUUGGUCAUUUAGAGGAAGUAAAAGUCGUAACAAGGUCUCCGUUGGUGAACCAGCGGAGGGAUCAUUACCGAGUUUACAACUCCCAAACCCUUUGUGAACCUUACCUAUCGUUGCUUCGGCGGGAUCGCCCUGGCGCCUCCGGGCGCCGGAUCUCAGGCACCCGCCGGGGGCCCGAAACUCUUAGUUUAUUUUAGUGUUUUCUCUCCGAGUGGCACAAGCAAAAAUAAAUCAAAACUUUCAACAACGGAUCUCUUGGUUCUGGCAUCGAUGAAGAACGCAGC